rnacentral:rRNA from 1 species
AUGAACGCUGGCGGCGUGCUUAACACAUGCAAGUCGAACGAUGAACCUCACUUGUGGGGGGAUUAGUGGCGAACGGGUGAGUAACACGUGAGUAACCUGCCCUUAACUCUGGGAUAAGCCUGGGAAACUGGGUCUAAUACCGGAUAUGACUUCCCAUCGCAUGGUGGGGGGUGGAAAGCUUUUUGUGGUUUUGGAUGGACUCGCGGCCUAUCAGCUUGUUGGUGAGGUAAUGGCUCACCAAGGCGACGACGGGUAGCCGGCCUGAGAGGGUGACCGGCCACACUGGGACUGAGACACGGCCCAGACUCCUACGGGAGGCAGCAGUGGGGAAUAUUGCACAAUGGGCGCAAGCCUGAUGCAGCGACGCCGCGUGAGGGAUGACGGCCUUCGGGUUGUAAACCUCUUUCAGUAGGGAAGAAGCGAAAGUGACGGUACCUGCAGAAGAAGCGCCGGC